GACGAACGCUGGCGGCGUGCCUAAUACAUGCAAGUAGAACGCUGAAGGAGGAGCUUGCUCUUCUGGAUGAGUUGCGAACGGGUGAGUAACGCGUAGGUAACCUGCCUGGUAGCGGGGGAUAACUAUUGGAAACGAUAGCUAAUACCGCAUAACAGUAGAUGUUGCAUGACAUUUGCUUAAAAGGUGCAAUUGCACCACUACCAGAUGGACCUGCGUUGUAUUAGCUAGUUGGUGGGGUAACGGCUCACCAAGGCGACGAUACAUAGCCGACCUGAGAGGGUGAUCGGCCACACUGGGACUGAGACACGGCCCAGACUCCUACGGGAGGCAGCAGUAGGGAAUCUUCGGCAAUGGACGGAAGUCUGACCGAGCAACGCCGCGUGAGUGAAGAAGGUUUUCGGAUCGUAAAGCUCUGUUGUAAGAGAAGAACGAGUGUGAGAGUGGAUAGUUCACACUGUGACGGUAUCUUACCAGAAAGGGACGGCUAACUACGUG
rnacentral:rRNA from 1 species